AGCAGGCAGAGAGAGAGAGAGGAGGAUGCAGGCUCCCUGCUGAGCAGAGAGCCCGAGCCUCAAGUUUUCUUAACUGCAGAAGGAAAAACAGCAAAGGGUUCUCUUCCUGUUGGGAUUAUGCCACAUACCGGUUUUCAGUAUUUGCUUAAGAUGUGGCUGCUGAUGAGUCAGAGGAGAGGAAAGAGACUCCAAAAUGUGAGGUGAUCCUGAUGCACAAUAAAACCAGAGAAUCACUACUCCAGCCCAAGUCUUCCAGUAGAGCCAGAGCCAUCAAAAAAAAAAAAA